ensembl:lncRNA
GGGUUUCCACGAAAAUAAUAAUAAUAUUAACUCAAUAUUUGUCGUGAUUUAUUCAUAACUCAAUAUUAAAUAGCCUCUAACACCCUGGGUGGGAGAGAGUAUAAUUCAUACGAACGAACAUCCACAAACAUAAGCGUUUCCAAACAACACCCAGUGAGAGAGAAAAACACGUAAACAAGGCAAAUAAAACGGUAACGUUACUGAAGCUCAAGGUCCUCUCCGGCGAUUAAUUGGUCGUAGCUUUGGUUCACACAGACUCCUCAAUGACAGGCGGGCCAGGGGAGCCAAGGAGAGUGAUGAAUCAACUGAAGGAAUCCUCUGUGCCCACUUUGAGGAGGGAACACAGACAAAGGGAAAUAAAUCCCACCAUGCAUUGCGAUGCCAACCUUUGGCGUCGCCAGGGGGAAGGCUGAAGAGCCACCGUGCCUUUCAAUCAAAGUCGAGCGUCGCCGUCGGGGAAGGAAACAUGAAGACCACUCUGCACGGCGACUUCCCCUUCUCCCAACACCUCAGCCGCCCCGACUACACUUUCCCAUGCCACCACUACCACGACAACACAACACAACAGCAAAAAAACCUUCUUUAGAGUGUUCCUGUUUUACAUUACUCUGAAUGUAUUGAGCUAUAGCACUCACGGGAUUGUAUUCGUCAUUUACUACAGUCGUGGAAAAAUUGACCAUUACGAAUUUGCGAAAAUUGUGUGACGACUUUAAAUAGUCAACUCCUCCUCUCCCGUAUCCCCACAAGCACCGCAACACACACUCAAGGAAAAACUUGAAUGAAAAACUUAAAAUGAUCCACCAGCUGACUUACGUUGGCGCAGAUUCAAAUCAAGACACACUGUUUUAUUUUCUUAUUUCGUUCAAAUUAGAACACUUUUUCCAACUCUUGUUUGGUUUCAAAAAGACCAUUUCCGCUGAAGUGGGUAACCACUGUGGUUCUCCUGAACCACAGGGUUCAGGAGAGGUAACAGAGGGAGGCAGUGAGACAGGCUAGGGUUCAGGAGAGGUAACAGAGGGAGGCAGUGAGACAGGCUAGGGUUCAGGAGAGGCAACAGAGGGAGGCAGUGAGACAGGCUAGGGUUCAGGAGAGGUAACAGAGGGAGGCAGUGAGACAGGCUAGGGCUCAGGAGAGGUAACAGAGGGAGGCAGUGAGACAGGCUAGGGUUCAGGGGAGGCAACAGAGGGAGGCAGUGAGACAGGCUAGGGUUCAGGAGAGGUAACAGAGGGAGGCAGUGAGGCUAGGGUUCAGGAGAGGUAACAGAGGGAGGCAGUGAGACAGGCUAGGGUUCAGGAGAGGUAACAGAGGGAGGCAGUGAGACAGGCUAGGGUUCAGGAGAGGUAACAGAGGGAGGCAGUGAGACAGGCUAGGGUUCAGGAGAGGCAACAGAGGGAGGCAGUGAGACAGGCUAUGGUUAGGUAAUGCAGCAGGCGGGAGGAGUGAAACUGGAACAUGUCCCAUCACAGUCAACCUGAUGUACAAAACAGACGAAGCACAACACAGUAAAAAAAAGAGCUUUGCAACACCCGCGUGCCGAAUUAAACGCCAAGCCUUGAGCCAGG